rnacentral:rRNA from 1 species
GACGAACGCUGGCGGCGUGCCUAAUACAUGCAAGUAGAACGCUGAGGAGAGGAGCUUGCUCUUCUUGGAUGAGUUGCGAACGGGUGAGUAACGCGUAGGUAACCUGCCUUGUAGCGGGGGAUAACUAUUGGAAACGAUAGCUAAUACCGCAUAACAAUGGAUGACACAUGUCAUUUAUUUGAAAGGGGCAACUGCUCCACUACAAGAUGGACCUGCGUUGUAUUAGCUAGUAGGUGAGGUAACGGCUCACCUAGGCGACGAUACAUAGCCGACCUGGGAGGGGGAUCGGCCACACUGGGACUGAGACACGGCCCAGACUCCUACGGGAGGCAGCAGUAGGGAAUCUUCGGCAAUGGGGGCAACCCUGACCGAGCAACGCCGCGUGAGUGAAGAAGGUUUUCGGAUCGUAAAGCUCUGUUGUAAGUCAAGAACGAGUGUGAGAGUGGAAAGUUCACACUGUGACGGUAGCUUACCAGAAAGGGACGGCUAACUACGUGCCAGCAGCCGCCGUAAUAC